AUGAAGGGAGGGUCGGCGAGGAAUCCCGCACAGCGUGACGCAUGGGGUGAGCAGCCAAGGAGGUUUGGGGUGGCGCCCGAAAAGAUUAGAAGCGGAUGGGGAGGCGGCGGAUGGUUGGAGAAGAAGACCUGUCGCACAACCUCGCAUGGUGGCGGCCGCUGCGCCAUACCCGUACGCGAGGAGGAGAGCCCAUGGUCGUGCUUGUGUGUGGUCUUUGUUUAG
rnacentral:rRNA from 1 species